rnacentral:lncRNA from 1 species
UCUCCCAAUUUUGAAUUCCCUGUAUUCGAAGCGGAAGAAGAUGAUGUUGAAGGGAUUCUUGACGAGAUUUCCUGACUUCUUGAGCAAGAAAAGAAGAUCACUCAGCUGCAUCUCGAGAAUCAGCAUAACAGCCAACUGGGGCAUUAACAAAAAAACAAAAAAUGGAAAGAGGAGGGUCAAAAAAAAAUCAAUCAAAAGAAUCA